rnacentral:rRNA from 1 species
UACGUAGGGGGGCUAGCGUUGUCCGGAUUUAUUGGGCGUAAAGAGCGUGUAGGCGGCCAGGUAGGUCGCUGUGAAAACUCGAGGCUUAACCUCGAGCUGUCGGCGGAAACCAUCUGGCUAGAGUCCGGAAGAGGAGAAUGGAAUUCCCGGUGUAGCGGUGAAAUGCGCAGAUAUCGGGAAGAACACCCGUGGCGAAGGCGGUUCUCUGGGACGGUACUGACGCUGAGACGCGAAAGCGUGGGGAGCGAACAGG